rnacentral:rRNA from 1 species
UUAGGUUAAGUUAUUAAGGGCGCACGGUGAAUGCCUUGGCACUAGGAGUCGAUGAAGGACGGCACUAACACCGAUAUGCUUCGGGGAGCUGUAAGUAAGCUUUGAUCCGAAGAUUUCCGAAUGGGGGAACCCACUGUUCGUAAUGGAACAGUAUCUUGACGUGAAUUCAUAGCGUCUUGAAGACACACCCAGGGAACUGAAACAUCUAAGUACCUGGAGGAAGAGAAAGAAAAAUUCGAUUCCCUGAGUAGCGGCGAGCGAAACGGGAAGAGCCCAAACCAAGAGGCUUGCCUCUUGGGGUUGUAGGACACUCUAUAUGGAGUUACAAAAGAAUGAACUAGAUGAAGCGAUCUGGAAAGGUCCGCUAGAAAAGGUAAAAGCCCUGUAAUCGAAAGUUCAUUCUCUCCCCGAGUGUAUCCUGAGUACGGCGGAACACGUGAAAUUCCGUCGGAAUCCGGGAGGACCAUCUCCCAAGGCUAAAUACU